ACGUGGGUAACCUGCCCUCGAGUCUGGGAUAACUCGGGGAAACCCGGGCUAAUACCGGAUACGGCUGCGAAGCCCGAGGGCUUCGCGGAGAAAGAUGGCCUCUCCUUGGAAGCUAUCGCUCUUGGAUGGGCCCGCGUCCCAUUAGCUUGUUGGUGAGGUAACGGCUCACCAAGGCUCUGAUGGGUAGCUGGUCUGAGAGGAUGAUCAGCCACACUGGAACUGAGACACGGUCCAGACUCCUACGGGAGGCAGCAGUGGGGAAUUUUGGGCAAUGGGCGAAAGCCUGACCCAGCAACGCCG
rnacentral:rRNA from 1 species